rnacentral:misc_RNA from 1 species
CAACCCUCAAGCCUAGCUUGGUAUUGGGCCUCGCCGUUUUGGCGGGCCUUAAAAUCAGUAACAGUGUCGUUGAGGCCCUGAGCGUAGUACAUAUCCUCGCUAUAGGGACUUCCACGGCCAUUAACCCUCACUUUCUAAGU